rnacentral:lncRNA from 1 species
ACACCAUAAGGCGAUGGUGAGUUGAGAGAAAAAUGAGAGAGGCUUGUUUGAGAAAACCCUUCAAGGUGCCACUAGCCGAAUGAGGUCUCCGAAUGCAAUGGGUCUAAGUAAGAAACUCAGUUUCAGGGCCAUUAACUCAACAACAAUUGGUAGAAAGUUUGGAUGAAAAGAUCAGGCUGCUUAAUCCAAAAUGCACAGUAUAAUUAUUAGAGUUGACUGUCAUUUUUAGAUUAAUUUAUUGUUUCUUUGUUACAAAUGAGGAUAUUCAUUUUCUUUCCUUUCUUUUCUUUAUUUUUAUUUUAUCUUUCUUGAGUCAGUUAUCCAAAUAAAAAAAUUGUCUUUCUUUUUUUUCUUUUCUUGUCUUUGAGUCAAGUCCAUGUCAAAACAAGUGAGAAAAGAUUUUAAAACUGGCUAUCAGCUUCUUCAAUUGCACAAAGCAAGACAAAAGGGACAGCACAUGCAAAAGACAUGAUUGUGAGCCGAAAUAAGGCAUACAAAAAUUGUGUCAACAGACAAGUUUGGGAACUCAUGAAAAUACCAAGGUUCAAAGGGUUUAUAUGAUGAGCAUGACGAAGCAGAGAUAUCAUUUUAUUUCAGAGUCACUUUUAAUAAACUGAAUUUAGGUCAAUGAUGCAGCAAGUCAAUGAUAAAUGCUAAUGGUUGGAAGCAAGGUUAAAUGUGAUGGGGCAAGAGCGAUCGUCGCGAAAGCUAAAGCCACAAACCAGCCACCGUGUUUUAAACUCACAAGUUUUCUUUGAUGAAAUAGGAAACAUAUUACCUUCAAAGCAAGGACGUCAGAGCAUAAAUAUCAAGGCUUUCAAUGCCUCACGUUUAAAUAUGCACGAAGAAAUGUUGCUGCACAGGUUUGGUAAUCAAAUCAUUGUAAAAUUCAUCAUCUUAUAUCCCUCGGAGACACAUUUUCUUGUCCAGGGAUUUCAUUUUUCAUUUGCUGGGUGAUACACUUCUUAAAUUGAUCCUUCACUCCUAAAAGACGUACCUUUUAGUCGAGUCAUCCCCUUUGACCCCAAAAGACGUACCUUUUAGUAGAGUCAUUUCCUUUGAUUCCUAUAAGACAUACCUUUUACUCGAAUCAUUCCCGCUUGACUCCUAGAAGACGUACCUUUUAGUCGAGUCAUUCCCCUUAACCCCUAGAAGACGUACCUUUUAGUCGAUUCAUUCCUUUGAUUCCUAUAAGACGUACCUUUUAGUCGAGUCAUUCCUCUUGACCCCUAGAAGAAGUACCUUUUAGUAGAGUCAUUUCCUAUGAUUCCUAUAAGACGUACCUUUUAGUCGAGUCAUUCCUCUUGAGGCCUUGACCCCUAGAAGACGUACCUUUUAGUUGAGUCAUAUCCCUUGAUUCCUAUAAGAUGUACCUUUUAGUCGAGUCAUUCCCCUUGAGUCCUUGACCCCUAGAAGACGUACCUUUUAGUUGGGUCAUAUCCCUUGAUUCCUAUAAGACGUACCUUUUAGUCGAGUCAUUUCCUUUGAUUCCUAUAAGACGUACCUUUUACUUGAGUCAUCACCCCUUGAUUCCUAUAAGACGUACCUUCUAGUCGAGUCAUUCCCUUGAUUCCUAUAAGACGUACCUUUUAGUCGAGUCAAUUUCUUUGAUUCCUAUAAGACGUACCUUAUAGUCGAGUCAUUCUCCUUGAUUCCUAUAAUGAUGUGACUUUCACAAAAGUCCUUUGAUAAUAAACUGGGGCAAAAUUUAAUUCUUAUUUUUGGAACUUUACUUUUCUGGCAAACAAAAUUUCUCUUUAUGAAAAACUUUGUUUGGGAUAAUUUUCUUGUUAGUUUUGAUAUGAUUUCAGAAGCCCGCCUGAAGAACAGGGUGAUGAGAUAGAAAGUCAGGAGCCCACCUGAAGAACAGGGAUGAUGAAAUGGCAAGUCAGGAACCCGCCUGAAGAAUAGGGUGAUUAAAUAGUAAGUCAGGAGCCCUCCUGAAGAAUAGGGCGGAUAAAUGGAAAAUCUAGAACAAGGUGAAAAAAAUCUGAAAAAACAAGCAAAAAGGUGAAGCAAUUGAAAGUCAAGCAACAAGUUGAAUAAAUUGCAAAUCAGGAGCCCACCUGAAGAAUAGUGUGAUGAAACUUAAGUCAAGAGUCCAAAAGAAGAUGCAUAGAUAGAAUUUCUGUAAUUUUAUUUAUGUUUUUAACUCGUAAUUUUCAUUUUGAUGUAAUGAUAGAGCUGUGGACCGAAACCUUGAUGGAACCUCACUCGACUCUCCAACUCGGUAUAGUCCUUCUCUUUCAAAUAUUUUGAAAUACUGGUCCCUUGAUUCCUCCAUAACUUCGGUAGAUAGGUUGUCCUAAGUCAGGACUCGGUUGUCUUUCUUUCUUUUGUUCCUUCCUUUGAAUAAUGAUCGGGUCAAAAUUCUGUCUUGUUGUCUACUAUUUUGUCUGAAAACACUUCGUGUUUACAUUCAAAGGGGGCAUGAGGUAGACACCUAAUUUUGUCCCUCCUAAAGACCCAAGUUACACAUUUUAUCCUCGUUUUACCACGCGCCCUACCCUAUGUAAUUAUUCCUACACAAAAUGAUAAAUAUAACAACCCUUAGCAAAUUUUAUCUUUGUUCUAACAACCUCCUCAAUUAAAAGCGGACACCUCACCACCCCACUACCCCAUCCACGUGACCCUCCCUCCUCACAUUUCUUGACCACAAAGGAAAAUAAAAACGGACAACUGUACAAAGUUGUGGCCAUUUUUGCUCUCUUUUGGAUUUGAGAGGAACAAAAACUUACAAUAUAUUUCCCAGGGGCCCCACAGAUUUUCUUCCAUUAGAAAUACCCUCACAAGUCAUCUUCUUCAGAUGGACAAUCUUCAUAUUCACGCACCAGCUCACAGAAACAAUACGAAUACACACACCAGUGAGAGAGAUAUAUAGAUGUACACACUCAUAGAGAACCAUAGGAGAAGGAGAGAAUCGGGAGAGAGCGAAUAAAAAAGGGGUCUGAACAGUGAUCGGCCGAUGUGAAUAGUAAAUGCUGAACGGAGUAAGGGGAAGAACAGCUUUUCCCGAUGAGCCUGUCACCAAAAAAGUACCUCAUCGUAGAGUCCGUCCACUCCUCCCUAAAACCCAAUCGAAACCAGCUUUAAACUCCCUAAAAUUGUGACGCCAGUGCCCGACUACUCCGCCGCCGCCACUGUUACUGUUCCAGCGAUGGAGUUUUCGCCUAGAAUGCACCAAAUUGGUCAAAAUCGUCCCAAAAAUAUCAAGAAAACAGUGAGUUCACCUUGGGAUUUCAACAGUUAAGUUAGAGGUCUGUUUGUGAUUUGGUAUUGGUGAAAAAUGGAACAAAGGGGAUAUAUCGAAGUUGGAGUUGUUCGUUUGAAGAGGCUCGAUCCGAGAUUAUGGAUGCGGUCCAAUUGGAAGGAACAACUUUAAUCUAAAGCAACAUUUGAGGUUCAAUUCUAUCUUCUCUAUUUUUUUUUAGUUUUUAACAUAAUUAUGAAUGAUUUAUGUGUUUGGCAUGUUUGAAUCUUCGUGAUGUGUGGGUUGAUGUUGGAUUUGGAUAUGAAAACUUGAUCGGUGGAUUUUAUAUUGAAUUGGUUUAAUCAUAUUAAAAAAGUUUGGGCGCGAAUUGAAAAUUUUCUAAAGUGAAUUAGGAUUAAUUUUUAUUUAUUGUUAUUUUGAUUCAUUGACGCCGUCGAUCAUGAUAGUGCCAUGAUAGGUCAAGUUAGGUAGGCAAAAGUAGGUUGGGUAGGCAAAGUUUAGGAUCUGUGAUUGUUGAAAUGAUGAAAUAUUUGUGGAGUGGUUUCGAUUUAUGCAUUGGGAUCUAUUGUAUUCAUUUGGCCGGGGAAUGCCCCGAGGGAUUUGUAUUGAUUCACCGGGGAAUGCCCCGACGUAUCAUGUAUUCGGAGGACGUUCGUGAUGAAGGCCCGAAGAAUCGGGUAAGGCAUUGGAUCGUAGUUUAGGAUUAGUGUAGGUUAGCGUAGGUUUAUUUUUCAGUACCUUUUUUUCAUUUUGGGUUAUAAUAAUUGGACUGGACAUUAUUAUUUUGGUUUUUGGAUUGUUGUUUGAUGUUUGUUUAUGUGCUUUGUUUGGUUUAUACAUUUGUGGUGUCUAAUUAGCCGAUACUCUCCACCAAGAGACCAUGGUCGAACCAUGGGACCGAGGGGUGCCUAACACCUUUCCCUCGGUCAAUAAAAUUCCUUAGUCGAAAUCUCUGUUCGCGGAUUAGUUUUACAGAGUCAAAAUCAUUUUGAAAAGGGUUUUCCAAAGGUGACUUGGCACACCAGAUUAUGCCAAGUGGCGACUCUGAGUUUUGAAUUUAAAUAAUUCUUUUCAAAACAAACUUUCAUUUUUUGUCACUUUGAUAAUAAAAAUCCUUUCAAACUUAAAACAAAAUCGUUUUUGGGUAAAAAAAAAAGGGUGUGACAGCUCUGGCGACUCUGCUGGGGACUUUUUUUUAGAAUUCGAGCUUAUUUUCAAAUUGUAUCGGCUUAGUUUGGCACUAUAGGUGUAUAGACAUUUUAUUUGUGUUGUUUUGUGUUAUUGUUUAUCAUUGUUGAGUGCCUACGUGCUCUUUGUUUACAGUUUUUAUCUUAUGUGUUACCGUUUUAUAUCUGGCAUCAUGUGCAUAACCCGAGUCAUUCUUUCUGCAACAAGUCUGUAGUACACGCUAUGUACACGACCUCUAGUUGAGUCACCCUUAUCUUAGGGGGGAGCCGUCGGCUGGUAUGGAGUGGAUGGAAAGCUAAAGCAGCCACUAUCGACCAUAUGCUCCCCCGAAUAGCCUUGUUAGUGAACCCCAGCGUAGGUCAGCUUUUAGGUCAUGCUUAUCUGCAUCACAUUGAGACCUAGCGGGACCCACUUGGUCUGUUGUAGGAGACUCACCUCUAAGGCAUCCCUACGUGCUAAAUGUUGCAUCUUUGAGGGUAACGUGGUCAUUUGACGGACUGAUUUGAGGAAAAAUAUGUGCUAGAGGUAAAGUGCGUAGACAAGAAACCGUUUGAAAAAAAAAAAGGUGUUCCGUAGAUUUUAGUGUUCUUUAUGGCUUUUGUUUUCCAUAAUUCAAAAAUUCAAAAAAAAAUCUUUAUUUUCUGCACUCAUUUUUUUAAAAACCAAAACAUCAAAAAGAUUUCUCACUUUGUCUCCUUUAGCAUGUAUUCAUAAUUAGAAAUUUUCAAAAAAAAAAAAAAUAGUAGUUUUUAUAAAAGAAAUUGAAAAAUGGUAGAAGAUUUGUACAUUUCAUAUAGCGAAAAUGUCAAAAAGAUUUUUCUUCAAAAUUGUUGGUGUCAGUUUAGCUGAAGUGUCUAAUUAAAAACCAAAAAAGAUUUUAUUUGUUUGUCUUUGGUUGUGUCUCUUAAGUUAGGGUCAAUCUGUUAGUUAAUCGUUAAUUGUAGAAUCUGGACGAACUACGCACCCCUGAUUCUCCUCUCUCGGGAGUGAGAUACGUAGGCAACCUAUUUUGAUUUCGGGGAUCUUAUUUCAAAAAUUCAAAAAAAGAUUUUCUUCACUCUUCAUUUAGAGUAGAUGUUUCAUGUACAUCUUUAAAAGAAAACAACAAAAAAAUAUUUCCCUUUAAUAGGUUCAGGUUUCAUUUUCGUAUAAAUUCAAAAUCAAAAAUCCAAAAAUAUUUUUUUUGGUAAUCAUAGAUUUCAUUUUGUACAGAAAUCUGAAAAAUUCAAAAAGAUUUUCUUCACUCUUCAUUUAGAGUAGAUGUUUCAUGUACAUCUUUAAAAGAAAACAACAAAAAAAUAUUUCCCUUUAAUAGGUUCAGGUUUCAUUUUCGUAUAAAUUCAAAAUCAAAAACCCUAAAAAACUUUUCUUUGGUAAUCAUGGGUUUCAUUUUGUAUAGGGAUGUUAAGCCUAAAAAAUGCAAACAAAAAAGAUUUUCGUCAAUUCUUUUGACAAUUUGUUAUUUUCUUUUCUUCUUAAAGUUUCAAAAAGAAAAAAAAAGAAAACAAAGAGUUCAAUUGACCGUUUUGGCACGACUUCACGAACUACACACACCUGAUUCUCCUCUCUCGGGGGUGAGAUAUGUAGGUGCCCUUCUUGGGUUCGGUGAUCUUUUCAAGAAAAAAAAAGAGAGAGAGGUUUUGAAAAAUGUUGAACUCUAACAUAUUUGUUGCCUCUUGUUCAGUUAGUUUAAGGUGGUUGGUUUGUGGCUUCCUGGCUGGUCCUCCAUAUCACACCAAAUUCAAGGAGGGGUUAGUUGUGUCCAACAAGGAUAUAGAAAGUGGCAUCAUGGAUGAAACAAAGAGUAAAGAAAUUGAGAAUUUAAAGUAAGAGAAUUUGAGACUAAGACAACAAGUGAUGAAAAUGUAUAGAGCUUGGGCCAGUGGGCUGCCUCCAUCUCUGUUCCCCACUUUUGACCCUGCAAAUACCUUGAGUCUUGUACCAAAAUCGCAAAUUCAAUCUCCGUCUUCUUAUCUACAAUGGUAUGCACCUGUCCCUCAACAUCGUCCUCGACCCCCACGAAUUUACCAAGGAACCUCUAAAUCCAAGUUUCAUCCGAGGCUAGAGUUCACAAAGAGGAGGAAGGAAAAGGAUAAUUUCACUCCUAUUGAGGAUUCCUAUGCUAGUUUAUUCCAGAGAUUGAGAUAGAGGGCCAUGAUUACUCCUCUCCUUGGGUAUACACCUGACCCAUAUUCAAGAAAUUUUGAUCCUAAUGUACGAUGUGCAUAUCAUUAGGAUGUUCAGGGUCAUAGUAGUGAAGAUUGUCGUACUUUGAAAAGAGAAAUAGAAAAGAUAAUUCAAGAUAAAUUGAUUGUGGUGCAAAACAUUGGCCCUUCGACCAUCCCACAGGGUUCUUCACCAGCACGCGGUACUGCACAAUAUGUGGGAGGCAAUGAGUUAAGCAUGGGGAUCCAGAACUUAUUUGUUGAAGAAAAUAUGUCUGACAGUGGUGGAAGCUCUAGUCAUGCUGAUAUGCAAAUCAGUGGCUAAUAUGUCAGGCUGAGCAAUUGAGAAGUCACCCGUCUCCCUACAAGGAAGAGGUCUAGUAGUUUGUUUUCUUUUCUUUUCUAUUUUUUAAAUUAUUUCAGGGUUAUAGUUCGGGAUCUAUCUUGUUUUGUCCCUUUGUCAUUUAUGUUCAAACUUUUUUAUCUUUUGUUUCAAAUAUGUGUUGUUGGUUUGUUUUCUUUAUACAGUACAUUUUAUGUUGAUUCUAGUGAUAUAAUAUGCCUGCAAAAUUUUCAGUCUGAUCUUAAAAUCCCAGCUUAAUCAUGAAGCAUUGAAUCAGAGAGUUAAAGUUAGGAAAAGAGAGCAUAUGAGAAAAUAGAUAGAGUGUUGGGGCAUUUGGUGAUCAAGUUGAAGCCUUCUUUGAAAAUUAAGGCAAUUAUUUUGAGAAUCGUGAGAAUAACUUGGUUAGUAUUUGAAAGACAUGUUUCAAUUAGUUCAAACAGUGGAUGUGCGAUCCUACAUCAAAAGGAAUAGAAAAACUAGCUCCACGAAAGCAUGAGGAAUGUACAACAAAGUGGAGUUGUAUGUUAGGCAAGUGUAGAAAAACAAGUGGCACACAUGCUCGGGGCAAGUUAGUGUUGUAAAACAUUUCAUAAGUGAUCUUGAUCGUGCAAUUUCCCAUUGCAUGCUAUGUACUAGCAUUUUCAAGAAUUAAUAUGACGAAAGCAUUUCAUUCUGCUUUCCAAAUAUUGCGUCAUCCUUUGUUUACCCCCAUUUGGGCCUUAGUGUUAUUUUCUUUCAUACCCCUCUUUUGGAAUCAAGAUAGAGUCAACAAAAUUCAAAAAAUGUAUCGAAAAAGAAAGAAAAGAUGAGUGUCAAGAAAAAUAAAGUCAGAAAAGUCCCAAAGAGAAAAAGAGUCGACAAAAGAAAAAAAUACAAUCAAGUGAAAGAACAAGCUGCCAGAAAUACGCAUGACCUGAUUCUCCUCUCUCGAUAGUGAGAUACGUAGGCUGCCCUACUCAGGGCUCGGUUCCAAGCAAAUAAAUAAUUUAGAAUUGCCCAGUCAAAAACUGGGGCUUGAGUUAAUCCUCAUUGUUUGAGUCGAUUCCAAAAGUUGAAAGUCCUACCCCACUUUUAGUAUUGUUUGGGCCCCAUGCCAUCUUUUAUUUUCAACCCUAUCCAAAAGCCAAGUUACAACCAAAGAAAGACCUUCAGAUCAAUCUUUGAGAAUGUUAAGGCUAAGUAUGCAAUGGAUGUGAUGACACAUUUUGGGAACUACUCGUCUUCCUCAGCAUAAAAAAUCAGGAGAGAAAUAAAAAUGAGAGAGUUUUAUUGGUGAAAACCCUCACGGACACCAUAAGGCGAUGGUAAGUUGAGACAGAUAAAAAUAAAAGAGUAUUAUUGGUGAAAACCCUCAUGGGCACCAUAAGAUGAUGGUGAUUUGAGAGAAAAAUGAGAGAGGCUUGUUGGAGAAAACCCUUCAAGGUGCCACUAGCCGAAUAAGGUCUCUGAAUGCAAUGGGUCUAAGUAAGAAACUCAGUUUCAGGGUCAUUAACUCAACAACAAUUGGUAGAAAGUUUUGAUGAAAAGAUCAGGUUGCUUAAUCCAAAAUGCACAGUAUUAUUAUUAGAGUUGACUGUCAUUUUUAGAUUAAUUUAUUGUUUCUUUGUUUCAAAUGAGGAUAUUUAUUGUCUUUCCUUUCUUUUCUUUAUUUUUGUUUUAUCUUUCUUGAGUCAGUUAUUCAAAUAAAAAAAUUGUCAUUCUUUUUUUUUCUUUUCUUGUCUUUGAGCCAAGUCCAUGUCAAAACAAGUGAGAAAAGAUUUUAAAACUGGCUACCAGUUUCUUCAAUUGUACAAAGCAAGACAAAAGGGACAGCACAUGAAAAGACAUGAUUGUGAGCCGAAAUAAGGCAUACAAAAAUUAUGUCAAUAGACAAGUUUGGGAACUCAUGAAAAUACCAAGGUUCAAAGGGUUUAUAUGAUGAGCAUGGCGAAGCAGAGAUACCGUGUUUGUUUCAGAGUCACUCUUAAUAAUCUGAGUUUGGGUCAACGAUGCAGCAAGUCAAUGAUAAAUGCUUAUGGUUGGAAGCAAGGUUAAAUGUGAUGGGGCAAGAGCGAUCGUCGUGGAAGCUAAAGCCACAAACCAGCCACCGUGUUUUAAACUCACAAGUUUUCUUUGAUGAAAUAGGAAACAUAUUACCUUCAAUGCAAGGACUUCAGAGCAUAAAUAUCUAGGCCUGCAAUGCCUCACUUUUAAAUAUGCAUGAAGCAAUGUUGCUGCAAAGGUUUGGUAAUCAAAUCAUGGUAAAAUUCAUCAUCUUAUAUCCCUCGGAGACACACUUUUUUAUCCAGGGAUGUCAGUUUUCAUUUGCUGGGUGAUACACUUCUUAAAUUGAUCCUUCACUCCUAAAAGACGUACCUUUUAGUCGAGUCAUUCCCUUUGAUUCCUAUAAGACGUACCUUUUAGUCGAGUCAUCCCCUUUGACCCCUAAAAGACGUACCUUUUAGUAGAGUCAUUUCCUUUGAUUAAGACGUACCUUUUAGUAGAGUCAUUUCCUUUAAUUCCUAUAAGACGUACCUUUUAGUCGAGUCAUUCCUCUUGACCCCUAGAAGAUGUACCUUUUAGUCGAGUCAUUCCUUUGAUUCUUAUAAGACGUACCUUUUAGUUGAGUCAUUCCUCUUGACCCUUAGAAGACGUACCUUUUAGUAGAGUCAUUUCCUUUAAUUCCUAUAAGACGUACCUUUUAGUCGAGUCAUUCCUCUUGACCCCUAGAAGACGUACCUUUUAGUCGAGUCAAUUUCCCUGAUUCCUAUAAGACGUAUCUUUUAGUCGAGUCAUUCCCUUGAUUUCUAUAAGACGUACCUUUUAGUCGAGUCAUUCCCUUUGAUUCUUAUAAGACUUACCUUGUAGUCUAGUCAUCUCCCUUGAUUCCUAUAAGAUGUACCUUUUAGUCGAGUCAUUCCCCUUGAGGCCUUAACCCAUAGAAAACGUACCUUUUAGUUGAGUCAUCUCCCUUGAUUCCUAUAAGACGUACCUCUUAGUCGAGUCAUUUCCUUUGAUUUCUAUAAGACGUACCUUUUAGUUGAGUCAUCACCCCUUGAUUCCUAUAAGACAUACCUUACUUUCACAAAAGUCCUUUGAUGAUAAACUGGGGCAAAAUUUAAUUCUUGUUUUUGGAACUUUACUUUUCUGGCAAACGAAAUUUCUCUUUAUGAUAAUCUUUGUUUGGGAUAAUUUUUUUUCAGUUUUGAUAUGAUUUCAAGAGCCCGCCUGAAGAACAAGGUGAUGAGAUAGAAAGUCAGGAGCCCACCUGAAGAACAGGGGUGAUGAAAUGGCAAGUCAGGAACCUACCUGAAGAAUAGGGUGAUUAAAUAGUAAGUCAGGAGCCCAACUGAAAAACAGGGCGGAUAAAUGGAAAAUCAAGAACAAGGUGAAAAAGUUGAAAAGACAAGCAACAAGGUGAAGCAAUUGAAAGCCAAGCAACAAGUUGAAGAAAUUGCAAAUCAGGAGCCCGCCUGAAGAAUAGGGUGAUGAAACUCAAGUCAAGAGUCCAAAAGAAGAUGCAUAGAUAGGAUUUUUGUAAUUCCAUUUAUGUUUUUAACUCGUAAUUUUCAUUUUGAUGUAAUGACAGAGCUGUGGACCGGAAC